GACGAACGCUGGCGGCGUGCUUAACACAUGCAAGUCGAACGGAAAGGCCCUGCUUUUGUGGGGUGCUCGAGUGGCGAACGGGUGAGUAACACGUGAGUAACCUGCCCUUGACUUUGGGAUAACUUCAGGAAACUGGGGCUAAUACCGGAUAGGAGCUCCUGCUGCAUGGUGGGGGUUGGAAAGUUUCGGCGGUUGGGGAUGGACUCGCGGCUUAUCAGCUUGUUGGUGGGGUAGUGGCUUACCAAGGCUUUGACGGGUAGCCGGCCUGAGAGGGUGACCGGCCACAUUGGGACUGAGAUACGGACCAGAAUCCUACGGGCGGCAGCAGUGGGGAAUAUUGCACAAUGGGCGGAAGCCUGAUGCAGCAACGCCGCGUGCGGGAUGACGGCCUUCGGGUUGUAAACCGCUUUCGCCUGUGACGAAGCGUGAGUGACGGUAAUGGGUAAAGAAGCACCGGCUAACUACGUG
rnacentral:rRNA from 1 species